rnacentral:rRNA from 1 species
GACGAACGCUGGCGGCGUGCCUAAUACAUGCAAGUAGAACGCACAGGAUGCACCGUAGUUUACUACACCGUAUUCUGUGAGUUGCGAACGGGUGAGUAACGCGUAGGUAACCUGCCUGGUAGCGGGGGAUAACUAUUGGAAACGAUAGCUAAUACCGUAUAAGAACAUUUACUGCAUGGUAGAUGUUUAAAAGGUGCAAGAGCAUCACUACCAGAUGGACCUGCGUUGUAUUAGCUAGUUGGUGAGGUAACGGCUCACCAAGGCAACGAUACAUAGCCGACCUGAGAGGGUGAUCGGCCACACUGGGACUGAGACACGGCCCAGACUCCUACGGGAGGCAGCAGUAGGGAAUCUUCGGCAAUGGGGGGAACCCUGACCGAGCAACGCCGCGUGAGUGAAGAAGGUUUUCGGAUCGUAAAGCUCUGUUGUUAAGGAAGAACGUGUGUGAGAGUGGAAAGUUCACACA